CCUACGGGAGGCAGCAGUAGGGAAUAUUGCUCAAUGGGGGAAACCCUGAAGCAGCAACGCCGCGUGGAGGAUGAAGGUUUUCGGAUUGUAAACUCCUUUUGUUAGAGAAGAAAAUGACGGUAUCUAACGAAUAAGCACCGGCUAACUCCGUGCCAGCAGCCGCGGUAAUACGGAGGGUGCAAGCGUUAAUCGGAAUCACUGGGCGGAAAGAGCGCGGAGGCGGGAUAGCAAGUCAGAUGUGAAAGCCUAGGGCUUAACCAUAGAACUGCAUUUGAAACUGUUAUUCUAGAGUAUGGGAGAGGUAGGUGGAAUUCUAGGUGUAGGGGUGAAAUCCGUAGAGAUCAAGAGGAAUACUCAUGGCGAAGGCGACCUGCUGGAACAUAACUGACGCUGAUGCGCGAAAGCGUGGGGAGCAAACAGGAUUAGAUACCCCAGUAGUC
rnacentral:rRNA from 1 species